rnacentral:rRNA from 1 species
GAUGAACGCUGGCGGCGUGCCUAAUACAUGCAAGUCGAGCGAACAGAUGAGGAGCUUGCUCCUCUGACGUUAGCGGCGGACGGGUGAGUAACACGUGGAUAACCUACCUAUAAGACUGGGAUAACUUCGGGAAACCGGAGCUAAUACCGGAUAAUAUAUUGAACCGCAUGGUUCAAUAGUGAAAGACGGUUUUGCUGUCACCUAUAGAUGGAUCCGCGCCGCAUUAGCUAGUUGGUAAGGUAACGGCUUACCAAGGCAACGAUGCGUAGCCGACCUGAGAGGGUGAUCGGCCACACUGGAACUGAGACACGGUCCAGACUCCUACGGGAGGCAGCAGUAGGGAAUCUUCCGCAAUGGGCGAAAGCCUGACGGAGCAACGCCGCGUGAGUGAUGAAGGUCUUCGGAUCGUAAAACUCUGUUAUUAGGGAAGAACAAAUGUGUAAGUAACUAUGCACGUCUUGACGGUACCGAAUCAGAAAGCCACGGCUAACUACGU